rnacentral:rRNA from 1 species
GUCUGUGGCCAUACCACCAUGAACUCUCCUGAACUUGUCUGAUCUUGGAAGCUAAACAGGGUCGGGCCUGGCUAGUACUUGGGUGGGAAAACUACCGCUUUAAGAGGUGCGACCUGGAGCUGAAGAGA